rnacentral:rRNA from 1 species
CGGGGUGAGUAAUGUAUGGGGAUCUGCCUGAUGGCGGGGGAUAACUACUGGAAACGGUAGCUAAUACCGCAUAACGUCGCAAGACCAAGAGGGGACCUUCGGGCCUCUUGCCAUCGGAUGUGCCCAGAUGGGAUUAGCUAGUAGGUGGGGUAACGGCUCACCUAGGCGACGAUCCCUAGCUGGUCUGAGAGGAUGACCAGCCACACUGGAACUGAGACACGGUCCAG